ACGAUAUGCUUUGGGGAGCUGUAAGUAAGCUUUGAUCCAGAGAUUUCCGAAUGGGGAAACCCAGCAUGAGUUAUGUCAUGUUAUCGAUAUGUGAAUACAUAGCAUAUCAGAAGGCACACCCGGAGAACUGAAACAUCUUAGUACCCGGAGGAAGAGAAAGAAAAUUCGAUUCCCUUAGUAGCGGCGAGCGAAACGGGAAGAGCCCAAACCAACAAGCUUGCUUGUUGGGGUUGUAGGACACUCUAUACGGAGUUACAAAGGACGACAUUAGACGAAUCAUCUGGAAAGAUGAAUCAAAGAAGGUAAUAAUCCUGUAGUCGAAAAUGUUGUCUCUCUUGAGUGGAUCCUGAGUACGACGGAGCACGUGAAAUUCCGUCGGAAUCUGGGAGGACCAUCUCCUAAGGCUAAAUACUCUCUAGUGACCGAUAGUGAACCAGUACCGUGAGGGAAAGGUGAAAAGCACCCCGGAAGGGGAGUGAAAUAGAACCUGAAACCGUGUGCUUACAAGUAGUCAGAGCCCGUUAAUGGGUGAUGGCGUGCCUUUUGUAGAAUGAACCGGCGAGUUACGAUUUGAUGCAAGGUUAAGCAGUAAAUGUGGAGCCGUAGCGAAAGCGAGUCUGAAUAGGGCGUUUAGUAUUUGGUCGUAGACCCGAAACCAGGUGAUCUACCCUUGGUCAGGUUGAAGUUCAGGUAACACUGAAUGGAGGACCGAACCGACUUACGUUGAAAAGUGAGCGGAUGAACUGAGGGUAGCGGAGAAAUUCCAAUCGAACCUGGAGAUAGCUGGUUCUCUCCGAAAUAGCUUUAGGGCUAGCCUCAAGUGAUGAUUAUUGGAGGUAGAGCACUGUUUGGACGAGGGGCCCCUCUCGGGUUACCGAAUUCAGACAAACUCCGAAUGCCAAUUAAUUUAACUUGGGAGUCAGAACAUGGGUGAUAAGGUCCGUGUUCGAAAGGGAAACAGCCCAGACCACCAGCUAAGGUCCCAAAAUAUAUGUUAAGUGGAAAAGGAUGUGGCGUUGCCCAGACAACUAGGAUGUUGGCUUAGAAGCAGCCAUCAUUUAAAGAGUGCGUAAUAGCUCACUAGUCGAGUGACACUGCGCCGAAAAUGUACCGGGGCUAAACAUAUUACCGAAGCUGUGGAUUGUCCUUUGGACAAUGGUAGGAGAGCGUUCUAAGGGCGUUGAAGCAUGAUCGUAAGGACAUGUGGAGCGCUUAGAAGUGAGAAUGCCGGUGUGAGUAGCGAAAGACGGGUGAGAAUCCCGUCCACCGAUUGACUAAGGUUUCCAGAGGAAGGCUCGUCCGCUCUGGGUUAGUCGGGUCCUAAGCUGAGGCCGACAGGCGUAGGCGAUGGAUAACAGGUUGAUAUUCCUGUACCACCUAUAAUCGUUUUAAUCGAUGGGGGGACGCAGUAGGAUAGGCGAAGCGUGCGAUUGGAUUGCACGUCUAAGCAGUAAGGCUGAGUAUUAGGCAAAUCCGGUACUCGUUAAGGCUGAGCUGUGAUGGGGAGAAGACAUUGUGUCUUCGAGUCGUUGAUUUCACACUGCCGAGAAAAGCCUCUAGAUAGAAAAUAGGUGCCCGUACCGCAAACCGACACAGGUAGUCAAGAUGAGAAUUCUAAGGUGAGCGAGCGAACUCUCGUUAAGGAACUCGGCAAAAUGACCCCGUAACUUCGGGAGAAGGGGUGCUCUUUAGGGUUAACGCCCAGAAGAGCCGCAGUGAAUAGGCCCAAGCGACUGUUUAUCAAAAACACAGGUCUCUGCUAAACCGUAAGGUGAUGUAUAGGGGCUGACGCCUGCCCGGUGCUGGAAGGUUAAGAGGAGUGGUUAGCUUCUGCGAAGCUACGAAUCGAAGCCCCAGUAAACGGCGGCCGUAACUAUAACGGUCCUAAGGUAGCGAAAUUCCUUGUCGGGUAAGUUCCGACCCGCACGAAAGGCGUAACGAUUUGGGCACUGUCUCAACGAGAGACUCGGUGAAAUCAUAGUACCUGUGAAGAUGCAGGUUACCCGCGACAGGACGGAAAGACCCCGUGGAGCUUUACUGUAGCCUGAUAUUGAAAUUCGGCACAGCUUGUACAGGAUAGGUAGGAGCCUUUGAAACGUGAGCGCUAGCUUACGUGGAGGCGCUGGUGGGAUACUACCCUAGCUGUGUUGGCUUUCUAACCCGCACCACUUAUCGUGGUGGGAGACAGUGUCAGGCGGGCAGUUUGACUGGGGCGGUCGCCUCCUAAAAGGUAACGGAGGCGCUCAAAGGUUCCCUCAGAAUGGUUGGAAAUCAUUCAUAGAGUGUAAAGGCAUAAGGGAGCUUGACUGCGAGACCUACAAGUCGAGCAG
rnacentral:rRNA from 1 species